GCGCCCGUAGCUCAGUUGGAUAGAGUACUUGGCUUCGAACCAAGGGGUCGGGAGUUCGAAUCUCUCCGGGCGUGCCA
rnacentral:tRNA from 4 species